AAGUAAAAUCUUUCCAGAUUAUUUUUCCAAAUGAAUUUUCCAGCAAACUGGUUAGAGAAAUAACAAUUUUAAUAUUAUGCUAAUAUACAUAUCCAGUGAUAUGUAUGAUUUGCAUUUGUUAUCCAAAUAUCAUGAAAAAGUUCAAAGUCACAGAAUAAAUUUUAUAAACUCCAUUUAAAUCCUGCUCCAUUUAAAUCUCAUGAAAAAAAAUGCUCUAGAUUUAAAUUUAUAUCAAACAGUUUAUUUUAUAGUCAUAAAUGGUAAAUUUUGCUUCCUGGGUUUUUGCCUUUGUAGGUAAUUCAGAAACUGGUAUAUUUAACAUGUUUGGUUGUUAGGUAAGUAUGGAAUUCUCAUUCUAAUGUAUUAAAUGGGUUAGCAUUCAAUAGCAUUCCAACUCUUUUAUUCUGUAUGAGCAUGUUACAUGAACGCUAUGGGGAAAUCCAAACUUGAAAAUAGCAAGAUAAUCCUUUCAUAAGGACUUGGACAGGAUUUGGAGAUUAUAUCUUAAACCAAGUAAUUGGAGUAAUAACUAAUUGUUGAUCAAUGAGCUUUCCCUUCCCAUGAAAAGCAGAAUCAUUGGAUAUUCGUUUAAAACUGAAGUCUACACAGGGGCUAAUAACUUUAAGUGCUUGAGAAUCUCCUUAGUACCAGAAGAUUUUUCAUGCUAUUUACAAAAAUUACAAGCCUGGCAUUGGUUCUUAUGAUGUGGUCUUUCAUAGUGAUUCUCUUUAGGACAAAAUUUGCUUCACAUAUUCAUUUUGUUUUGGAAGACUUACUGUUUUUCUUGAUGCUCAUUUUCUUUUGAAUUAUAUGCUAGCAUAUAAUGCUGGCAUAUAAUUCAAUGGGUACUGAAGAAAAUGGGUACUGAAUGCUUUUAUGAUCACACAACAGAGUCUAUGACAAUGAUUCAAUGGUACUAAUUCUCUAUCAGUUAUAAAAUGACAUAAAAAACUCAUCUCAUCUCUCUUUUUAUAUUCAGAUAAGCAUUUGAUCCCUAAUGUCUAUGGAGCUUCUCAAUCAUCCAAAUCAUGGCUGAAGAAGCUUCUUGGAUGAGAAGCAUCCAUUGCCUUUUGAAAAAAAGCACCUUUGGGAUUUUAUUCAUAAUUGGAAGAAUUAAUUAGAGAUCGUCUGAUCCAUCUGGACGUUCUGUAAGAACUCCAUUAAAAUCAGGGAGUCGUGUAAAUCGGAUGCUUGGCGCUGGAGGGCUUCCUGUACACCGACCAGCCUGUACCUUUGCAUGGAUGACUGAAAGGAGCACAUCUGCUUGCUGGAGGAAAGAAGCUGCUUCUAGUGCCUGCUGCAGGGUUUCAUGAUGUUCCUUUAAUGUCCUCUGGAGCUGAAGCCACCUGAAAGGAGGGAAGGAGGACAGAUGUAAAGUAAGAGGAAGCAGCCCACAGACCACAUUUUACCUGGUUCAGUUUGAUGAUGGUAUUCUCAAAAUCCUUCAUCUCUCUCUGUAAUAUUUGAGCUAUCCGUUCCCAUUCCUGAAAUCUGCAACCAUCCUUCAGAUCAUGGAGUUUUCCUCGCAUCCAUUUUUCAGCCUGAAAGGGAUGAAAAAUAAACAGGGGGUGGUGCUCAUCUCAUUUCAAAGCCGAAGAGCCAGCACUGUCUGAAAACAUCUCCGGG